CAACAGAUGUCAGUAAGAGAUACAUCUGACAUAGUGGCUUAUCAAAAUUUGCUAAUAAAAAUGGAAAAACUGGGAGUGACAGAUGACACGGCUACUUUAUUGGAGAAGAGUGGUCUGAGGUGUAAAGAAAGAGCCGAAGGGAAUAUGAAACAUGAUAAAAAUGCUGGCCGUUGUUAAGCUCUGAAGGAGCCAACGCCUCAGGAGAACUCUAGAAGAUCUGUAGAUAGUACCAUAAUAGACCCUUUGAUUGUCACUAAAAAUAAUUUACGAAUAAUAUAGCAUAAUUCGCA